UUCCGGUUGAUCCUGCCGGACCUGACUGCUAUCGGAUUGAUACUAAGCCAUGUGAGUCAUUGUAGCAAUACAAGGCAGACGGCUCAGUAACACGUAGUCAAUCUACCCUAUGGACGGGGAUAACCUCGGGAAACUGAGGAUAACACCCGAUAGAUCAUAAUGCCUGGAACGGUUUAUGGUCCAAACGAUUCGUCGCCGUAGGAUGGGACUGCGGCCUAUCAGCUUGUUGGUGAGGUAAUGGCCCACCAAGGCUAUUACAGGUACGGGCUCUGAGAGGAGAAGCCCGGAGAUGGGUACUGAGACACGGACCCAGGCCCUAUGGGGCGCAGCAGGCGAGAAACCUUUGCAAUGUGCGCAAGCACGACAAGGUUAAUCCGAGUGUUUCCUGCUAAAGGAAUCUUUUGUUAGUCGUAAAACCACUAUCGAAUAAGGGGUGGGCAAGUUCUGGUGUCAGCCGCCGCGGUAAAACCAGCACCUCAAGUGGUCAGGAGGAUUAUUGGGCCUAAAGCAUCCGUAGCCUGUUCUAUAAGUUUCCGGUUAAAUCCAUUAGCUCAACUAAUGGGCUGCCGAAAAUACUGUAGAACUAGGGAGUGGGAGAGGUAGACGGUAUUCGGUAGGAAGGGGUAAAAUCCUUUGAUCUAUUGAGGACCACCUGUGGCGAAGGCGGUCUACCAGAACACGUUCGACGGUGAGGGAUGAAAGCUGGGGGAGCAAACCGGAUUAGAUACCCGGGUAGUCCCAGCCGUAAACGAUGCAGACUCGGUGAUGCGCUGGCUUGUGGCCAGUGCAGUGCCGCAGGGAAGCCGUUAAGUUUGCCGCCUGGGAAGUACGUACGCAAGUAUGAAACUUAAAGGAAUUGGCGGGGGAGCACCACAAGGGGUGAAGCCUGCGGUUCAAUUGGAGUCAACGCCGGA
rnacentral:rRNA from 1 species